GCGUAAGCGCACGCAGGCGGUCUGUUAAGUCAGAUGUGAAAUCCCCGGGCUUAACCUGGGAACUGCAUUUGAAACUGGCAGGCUUGAGUCUCGUAGAGGGGGGUAGAAUUCCAGGUGUAGCGGUGAAAUGCGUAGAGAUCUGGAGGAAUACCGGUGGCGAAGGCGGCCCCCUGGACGAAGACUGACGCUCAGGUGCGAAAGCGUGGGGAGCAAACAGGAUUAGAUACCCUGGUAGUCCACGCCGUAAACGAUGUCGACUUGGAGGUUGUGCCCUUGAGGCGUGGCUUCCGGAGCUAACGCGUUAAGUCGACCGCCUGGGGAGUACGGCCGCAAGGUUAAAACUCAAAUGAAUUGACGGGGGCCCGCACAAGCGGUGGAGCAUGUGGUUUAAUUCGAUGCAACGCGAAGAACCUUACCUGGCCUUGACAUCCAGAGAACUUAGCAGAGAUGCUUUGGUGCCUUCGGGAACUCUGAGACAGGUGCUGCAUGGCUGUCGUCAGCUCGUGUUGUGAAAUGUUGGGUUAAGUCCCGCAACGAGCGCAACCCUUAUCCUUUGUUGCCAGCGGCUCGGCCGGGAACUCAAAGGAGACUGCCGGUGAUAAACCGGAGGAAGGUGGGGAUGACGUCAAGUCAUCA
rnacentral:rRNA from 1 species